GUCCCGGAGUAAAGAGGUAUUCAGUCGCCAAGACCAAGGAGAUGCCACACACAAUUUAUCAAGUGUUAAUGUAAUCUCUGCAUGGUCAGACCACGUUAUAGAUCAGAUGGUGGAGUCGGCAACUCUAGCUACAGUCAGAGGAUUCACCAAGAACAGUCCUAUCCUCGAAUAGGUGUCGUGAGGGUUUGAAUAAAAUGUAUAGUCAGUAACGUCGGGGUGGUGGGUUCUCCAAAUAUCAAUAAGGCCUGUAUGUUGCAUAAAGGUGUGCAAUAGUUUAUCUUGUCCGCCCCGUCUAUGGGACCGUGGAAGUCCAUGGCAAGGUCCCCUAUCCGUCGCUUGACAUGGUGCCGCAUUAAAGUCCCCCCCACUAUGACCAUGCCGUUUGGCAGUGUGUUGAUCACGUGAGUUAAAUCUAACCAGAAAUCUUUAGUUGAGUC